CCCGAGUAGCUGGGACUACAAGCGUGUGCCACCACGCCUGGAAAACAACAACAGUAACAACAACAAAAACUCAAGAAACAGGAAUGCAAGCUCUACAUUUUGUUAAACUAAGGACAUUUCUUACUCGUAACAAUCAGAUAUAAAAAAGUGCUGCCACAGGGGCAAGAAUGAUGCUCAGAAGGUCUUUAAUGGCUACAAAUCUUGGAUUAAGCUGACUGAGCAGUUCUUACACCGAGAAGCAAAACAACAACCUUUUGUUUCAAGAAACAGGAUAUUCCACUAUAAAGGUAAAACUUAUAAAAACAGAAAACCUAAAAAGGAGAAAUCAG
rnacentral:lncRNA from 1 species